GAUGACAUCACUUCCUGUUUCGGGGGGAAGGGGUGUGUGUGUGUGUGUGUGUGUCAGGACAACACCAAUUCCGUUUCCGGUGGCCACAAUGAUGUCACUUCUGGUUCCGGCGCCUAGACUAACGCCAGAAGAAGGUCACUUCCAGUUCCCCUAUGUCACUUAAAACCGUCAUCUUUUCAAACCUUCAGCUGUUCAUGCCUGGACUCCAACCAAGACACUUGUUGCAAAAUCAAUCAAUUGCAGCCAGGGAUAAUAUACAGAAAAUUUGGCAUCAACUGGCUGCACUUCAGAUGCUCCAUAUUUAUUGGGUGCAUUUGUUCGGCACAUGACUGACAAAAUCUUUGUCAAUAAAUAUUGUGGAAGUUGUACCUUCUCCCCCUGCAAUGGACUGGCACCCUGAAGAAGACUGACCUUCUUCCCAAUUCUGCAUGGGAUUCCUCCUUUUUACCUGAUGUUCUCAUAACAUCCCAAGGAUAUGCAUGUUUGGUUAAAUAUAGUAAAUCCAAGGUGCACCAUAAAAGUGACUGUUCCAUCAAACGAAGGCCAGAUUAGUUUUUUUUUCUUUUGCAUACCUAAAGUGGCUGUGAUAGGCGGCAGCCCCAGUGAUGCUGAAAUGGAGGAAUUUGAUUCAAUGAUGGAAGUUUACUGAGACAACAAUGAAUGAUGGGCAUUGAGCAAAAAUUUUCAUGAAAAGCCAACAUACUUAAUGGACAAAAUAAAUGUGUUAAACUGAACUUUCUUCAACCUUUUACUUUUUGGUAUUGUUUUACUGUGGUGGAUAAACUGUGAAACCUACUGUAUGCUUCUAACUGAGUUUACUUUCACAUUUUAAUUGUCUAUGCGGACCCCUUUAAAGAAGUAUUUAAACCAAGGCACAAGUGCAGUGUAUGCGUUGCCCUUUACAUAUGCCAAAUACCUUAUCUGAGAAGACAAUAGUCUUUUUUUAGACUAUAUAUUGUGUAACCAUUGAAAAUAAAACAAAUGUAUGUUAUUGCAAGCAUAAUAGUCUCAAAAACAGUUGUGCUAGUAUAUUUCAGUAUUGGAAAUAAGCUUUAUAGGAUAUUGCUUCAUGGUAACAUCUGUGUUUUAAUAUACAGUAUUGCCUAAUAUACAUUAUUUAACUCAA